GCAAGUCGAACGGGAAGCGGGGCUUCGGCCCCGUGGAGAGUGGCGAACGGGUGCGUAACACGUGAGCAACCUGCCCCGAAGGCCGGGAUAACCCGAGGAAACUCGGGCUAAUACCGGAUGCCCUCACCGAGUCGCAUGGCUUGGUGAGGAAAUGGAUUCCGCUUCGGGAUGGGCUCGCGGUCUAUCAGCUUGUUGGUGGGGUAACGGCCCACCAAGGCGACGACGGAUAGCUGGUCUGAGAGGACGAUCAGCCACACUGGGACUGAGACACGGCCCAGACUCCUACGGGAGGCAGCAGUAGGGAAUCUUGCGCAAUGGGGGAAACCCUGACGCAGCGACGCCGCGUGCGGGAUGAAGGCCCUCGGGUUGUAAACCGCUUUCAGCAGGGACGAAAUUGACGGUACCUGCAGAAGAAGGCCCGGCCAACUACGUGCCAGCAGCCGCGGUAAUACGUAGGGGCCAAGCGUUGUCCGGAUUUAUUGGGCGUAAAGAGCUCGUAGGCGGUUCGGCAAGUCAGUUGUGAAAUCUCCGCGCUCAACGCGGAGGGGUCAGCUGAAACUGCCGUGACUUGAGUCUGGUAGGGGAGUGUGGAAUUCCCGGUGUAGCGGUGAAAUGCGCAGAUAUCGGGAGGAACACCAGUGGCGAAGGCGGCACUCUGGGCCAGUACUGACGCUGAGAGCGAAAGCGUGGGGAGCGAACAGGAUUAGAUACCCUGGUAGUCCACGCCGUAAACGUUGGGCACUAGGUGUGGGGACCUAUCGACGGUUUCCGUGCCGUAGCUAACGCAUUAAGUGCCCCGCCUGGGGAGUACGGCCGCAAGGCUAAAACUCAAAGGAAUUGAGGGGCCCGCACAAGCGGCGGACGUGUGGCUUAAUUCGAUGCAACGCGAAGAACUUACCUAGGCUUGACAUGUACGGUAAAGCGGGUGAAAGCCCGUGUCCUUCGGGGCCGUACACGGUGGUGCAUGGCGUCAGCUCUGUCGAGAUGUUGGUUAAGUCCCGAACGCCCCUGUAUCUAGGGUACAGUCACAAAGGGGAACACGGUCCCU
rnacentral:rRNA from 1 species